UACGUUGACCAGCAGCCGCGGUUAAUUACGCAAGGUGGCAAGCGUUGUUCCGGGAUUUAUUGGGCGUAAAGCGCGCGCAGGCGGUCUUUUAAGUCUGAUGUGAAAGCCCCCGGCUUAACCGGGGAGGGUCAUUGGAAACUGGAAGACUGGAGUGCAGAAGAGGAGAGUGGAAUUCCACGUGUAGCGGUGAAAUGCGUAGAUAUGUGGAGGAACACCAGUGGCGAAGGCGACUCUCUGGUCUGUAACUGACGCUGAGGCGCGAAAGCGUGCGGAGCAAACAGGAUUAGAUACCCUGGUAGUCCACGCCGUAAACGAUGAGUGCUAAGUGUUAGGGGGUUUCCGCCCCUUAGUGCUGCAGCUAACGCAUUAAGCACUCCGCCCGGGGAGUACGACCGCAAGGUUGAAACUCAAAGGAAUUGACGGGGGCCCGCACAAGCGGUGGAGCAUGUGGUUUAAUUCGAAGCAACGCGAAGAACCUUACCAGGUCUUGACAUCCUUUGACCACUCUGGAGACAGAGCUUUCCCUUCGGGGACAAAGUGACAGGUGGUGCAUGGUUGUCGUCAGCUCGUGUCGUGAGAUGUUGGGUUAAGUCCCGCAACGAGCGCAACCCUUGAUUUUAGUUGCCAGCAUUUAGUUGGGCACUCUAAAGUGACUGCCGGUGCAAGCCGGAGGAAGGUGGGGAUGACGUCAAAUCAUCAUGCCCCUUAUGACCUGGGCUACACACGUGCUACAAUGGAUAGUACAAAGGGUCGCGAAGCCGCGAGGUGGAGCUAAUCCCAUAAAACUAUUCUCAGUUCGGAUUGUAGGCUGCAACUCGCCUACAUGAAGCCGGAAUCGCUAGUAAUCGUGGAUCAGCAUGCCACGGUGAAUACGUUCCCGGGCCUUGUACACACCGCC
rnacentral:rRNA from 1 species